AGGUUUAUGAACAAUUUUGAAUUAUGCUAUGAAACAUCUUGCCAGUUAUAAGGAAGGAGAAAAAAAAAACAGUUUGGCUUCAAAGAAGAUGCUGAUCUUUAUGUAGCAUGG